GACGAACGCUGGCGGCGUGCUUAACACAUGCAAGUCGAACGGAAAGGCCCUGCUUUUGUGGGGUGCUCGAGUGGCGAACGGGUGAGUAACACGUGAGUAACCUGCCCUUGACUUUGGGAUAACUUCAGGAAACUGGGGCUAAUACCGGAUAGGAGCUCCUGCUGCAUGGUGGGGGUUGGAAAGUUUCGGCGGUUGGGGAUGGACUCGCGGCUUAUCAGCUUGUUGGUGGGGUAGUGGCUUACCAAGGCUUUGACGGGUAGCCGGCCUGAGAGGGUGACCGGGAGGAGUGGGAGUAGAAGACGGCGAGGGCGCAUACGGGAGGCAGCAAGGGGGAGUGUGGGACGAGGGGCGGAGGGUUGAUACAGGGACGCUGCGGGGGGGAUGAGGGAGGGAGGGUGGUAGAAGGGGAACGACUGGGACACAGGGUGAGUGACGGGGAUGGGUAAAGAAGCACAGACUAAAGACAUG
rnacentral:rRNA from 1 species